AACUGAAAUACAGAUAUUGUUGGUUUUGAUAGUGGUAUAAGUCAGUGUGUUCACAAAGUAAUUUUAUUACGUCUUCAGAUAGUGGUUCAGACAUUUUACGGCGAAUAAAUGGAAAUAAUGCUCCCAAGAAAUGGAAACCCAUACAAAUGGAAGAGCGCAAAAUGAAAUCAAGAAAGAGGACACGCAAUCCACAGAAUUAUGCACAAAAUAUAAGAAAAAUGAAGAGAAAUAGUGGAGAGGAAUAUGAAACAAAAAACUCUAAGCACGUGAGUGCAAAACUUUUCGAAAAUAAAGAUUGUCUUUGUUCCAAAAAGUGUUUAAAUGAAAUCGGAUACGAAGACAGGAAAGAUAAUUUUGAUUAUUUUUGGAAAUUAGCAAAUUUCGAAAAACAGAAGCUGUUUCUAUGUGGUUUGAUUACAAAACAAUUAAUAAAACAAAAACGCCCCAGAAAUCACAAAGGAUAUAUGAGAAAAUGGAGUCUUAAGUUUCAUCUAUAU